UAUACACAGUGGCUUCUUUCGGAAGAGUUCAGUAUGGAACGAUGGGUGAAAAAGGAGUGACCUCAUAGUAGAGAACGCUGACAAACACCACCUCAUUCGGGUGACAUCAUCAUCAGUAACAGGUUGUAUUGAUGGCAUGGACACUUGACAUGAUGACAGAAAAUGAUACUUCAAACCCACUACUAAAAAGACCAGACAAAACCAAGUCAAGGGGCACUUCUAAGAUACCUGACUAAUGGACCUCAAAAACAAUGAAGGCCAUUAAAAACAAGGCAAGUCUGAGAAACUGACAGACAAGAGGAGACGAAGGAGGCAUAAUGACUGAAGGAAUCAUUCUCUAAGACUGGCAGCCAGCAACAAGUUACUGUUCCAGUCUAAACAGUCAACACCACCUCUCCUGUCUCAUCCUCCACCUGAGAACCUAGUAUCUCCUGUCAGACCAACCCCAAGGGAGCAAGAAGAAUGGAGCGAUGGCUGGCACCUGUAUAAUCGACACAUCUGCUCCCAGAGAAGAUGUCUCCAGGAAAAAAGAAUUAUAAAAUGGACUUCUAUCUACCCCCAAAAAGUACGUGUGUUCUCCCCCGGUCUCAAGACAAUUGCUGGGAGCUUCUAUGACCAAUGAACACUCACAGGAAAUCACCAUUACCUACACCAGAACUGCCCUGGAUUAAUGAAAGGAACAAGAAGAUUGUUGACAUCACCUACAAGAAUGAGAGAAUUGGCUUUAUUUUCCACCAGCUGGGAAGUUGCUGAAUUUAUUUUUAGCCUUAUAGCUAUAAAAGGUGAAACAGUAAAAGAACAAAAUAAAAUAAACCCAAAAGACUGGUUGC